UACAGAGGGGGCCAGCGUUAUUCGGAAUUAUUGGGCGUAAAGGGCGCGUAGGCGGCUUUGCGUGUCUUUCGUGAAAUCCCUCGGCUCAACUGAGGACGUGCGGAAGAAACUGCAGGGCUGGAGUCCGGGAGAGGAGGGUGGAAUUCCCAGUGUAGCGGUGAAAUGCGUAGAUAUUGGGAGGAACACCGGUGGCGAAGGCGGCCCUCUGGACCGGUACUGACGCUGAGAAGCGAAAGCAUGGGGAGCGAACAGG
rnacentral:rRNA from 1 species